ACUGAUCGGCUUUCAUUCUCAUCUGUCAUCUCUCAUUACCAUGCCAUUAUCACCCAUUUAAAAAAAGGAUCCAAAAACAAAGAACAUAGAUAAAGAGUAAUGGCUAUAUUAUAAUAACCUACAGGCUAAAGAAGAAUAUAUUUUAAAGAAUAGACAAUGUGACUUUUAGUGUCACCUAAACACCUCGUAUUACUUUCGUAUUAUACACUACAAAAUGUAAAGCAAAAUUUUAGUAAAGAGAACUAAUAAAAACUUAAAAAUGCCUGCAUUUUCUCUGUAUAUGAUUAGUUGGACUAAUCCAGGGCGUGAAAUCAGGACUUGUGCUUGGGAGCCAAGGUGCUGGAUACCUAACCUCAUCUUCAUACCAUGACCGAAUUGAAAACCACUGUAUCAGAAGAAAAUACAUUAUCUUCAAAAGGGUAUAAAUUGCAAAAGUUUCUUGGGGAAGGAGCUUAUGCAAAGGUAUAUUUGACUGAGUAUACAGGAAAAGACGAUUCCCACAAAGCAACACUUGCCUGCAAGAUUAUCGAAACAUCCAAAGCUCCUAAAGACUUUGUUGUAAAAUUUUUACCGCGUGAAAUAGACGUACUUAUACGUCUAAAUCACCCUCAUCUAAUACACAUACAUAGCAUAUUUCAAAGGAAAACAAAAUAUUACAUUUUUAUGAGAUUCAGUGAGAACGGCGACCUCUUGGGAUAUAUUUUGAAAAACGGAUGUGUGUCUGAGAAUCAAUCGAGAGUGUGGCUUAGACAGUUGGCUCUGGGAAUUCAAUACCUACACGAGUUAGAAAUUACACACAGGGAUAUCAAAUGUGAAAACGUUCUUUUAACUGCGAAUUAUAAUGUGAAAAUCUCUGACUUCGGCUUCACAAGGUUCUGUAUUGAUGAAGAUGACCAACCUAUUUUGAGUGAAACCUACUGCGGUUCCAUGUCAUAUGCUGCGCCUGAAAUUCUCCGAGGCAAACCAUAUUUCCCUAAACCAACAGACAUCUGGUCGCUUGGCGUGGUACUUUUUGUUAUGUUAAACAAGUCUAUGCCGUUUGACGACACACGAAUGCGAAAAUUGUACGAACAGCAAAUGGGAAAGAAGUACCGAUUUCGUUCUCGCGUUGCAAGUAUUCUCUCUUUAGAAUGCAAGUCUAUUAUCAAGCACAUGUUAGAACCUGAUCCUGGUUUGCGAUAUACGGCCACACAAAUAAUCAAUUCAGAGUGGAUUGCUAUGGACAGUAGACUUACUAGUAAGUUCAAAGAAAAUAAUAAUUUCAUAUUUGUAAACUUUCGUGACAGUAUGUGCCAUAUUAAUAUCAAUAUUUCGCUAGCCUUAAACGCAGUUGAAGCAAGUGCACUCAAACGAGCUAAAGAAGAACGUCGACAAUUAUCUGAAUUGCAUAGACAGCCCCCUAAGACGCAAGGAGAUAUUUUAGAAGGUCCACAAAGCAAUUCCGUACACAGGACAAGUGAAAUGUUGAAAUCUCUUGCUAAUGUAACAUCUAAACAAAAGAAAAUUGAAUAAAUGGAGGAAAAUUCAAAGUUUCACACUGAAGAUAAAUUAAAACUAAGCGCAUCUGAACAAUUAACACUUGCUACACGCGGAUAUAAAAUGUUAAAGAAAGUCAACGAAGGUUCUUACGCUAAGCGGAAUACAGGAAUCCGAAUAAAAACGACAAGCUAUCAAUUCUCGCAUGUAAAAU
rnacentral:misc_RNA from 1 species